CCUACGGGAGGCAGCAGUGGGGAAUAUUGCACAAUGGGCGCAAGCCUGAUGCAGCGACGCCGCGUGAGGGAUGACGGCCUUCGGGUUGUAAACCUCUUUCAGUAGGGAAGAAGCGAAAGUGACGGUACCUGCAGAAGAAGCGCCGGCUAACUACGUGCCAGCAGCCGCGGUAAUACGUAGGGCGCAAGCGUUAUCCGGAAUUAUUGGGCGUAAAGAGCUCGUAGGCGGUUUGUCGCGUCUGCCGUGAAAGUCCGGGGCUCAACUCCGGAUCUGCGGUGGGUACGGGCAGACUAGAGUGAUGUAGGGGAGACUGGAAUUCCUGGUGUAGCGGUGAAAUGCGCAGAUAUCAGGAGGAACACCGAUGGCGAAGGCAGGUCUCUGGGCAUUAACUGACGCUGAGGAGCGAAAGCAUGGGGAGCGAACAGGAUUAGAUACCCUGGUAGUCCAUGCCGUAAACGUUGGGCACUAGGUGUGGGGGACAUUCCACGUUUUCCGCGCCGUAGCUAACGCAUUAAGUGCCCGCCUGGGGAGUACGGCCGCAAGGCUAAACUUAAAUGAAUUGACGG
rnacentral:rRNA from 1 species